GCCGAGGGUCUCCUGGAAACAGCCUCUCUACCCUUCGAGGUAGAGGUAAGGUCUGCGUACGUUGUUGUUGUUGUUGUUGUAUUAGGAACAAUACUAAACUAGAAUUAAGCUAUUACAAAAAUGACCACUUUCAAGUGGUGGAACUUUUAAAAUCAGCCGAAGCACUGGUCAGAUUUCUAAAUUCGUCACCAACACUUUUGGCGUGUUACUUCUUAAACCACAGACCUACAGGAAAAUUUCAGAACUUCAUGCGUAGGAAAUCCACCAAUAGCAACUCAAACCUUGACAAACAAAGAUUAAAAACAGAAUUGAUUUCAAGAUUGUCUUUACUACUUAUGUUUCAAGCAUGUAUAGGCAUUUGUCACACCAAACAUGUCAAGCUACACUCAAAUUAGCAGUCGAAUCAUGAAGGAACAUUCAACAUACAUACAAGUUAAAGAUAAUGGAGAUUUCAUAAGAAUACCACAUCCUUACACCAAUUACAUAACUUAAGAUCAGAACAUGUACCUUGAAAUGCAAUAACAGAACUUAAAAUGACCAAAUAAAGGCUAAAGUGGAGAAUAAGCUCAGCUACACAACAAGUAACCGCCACAACCAAAUACGCCAAAACAACUUCAAAUAUACACCAAGAAAUUCUAAAAGAAAAACUCAAAAGCUGAAGAGCCCCUUUCUUUUUUGGUUUGAAGUUUUUGUCUGUAUCCAAUUUGAAUCCCUUUUUAGUGUUUUUCUUUUGAGAGAAGUUAAUAUUGAAUGAAAAAACGUGAGUCUUUCUACCCAAAAUUCCCUCUGUUAUAUAGAGUGUAGGAGUUGUACUAUAUGAGAGAAAAUGGGAGAGGAUAUAGGGAAUAUGUUAGCUAAAAAUUAGGGGGGAGGGCAUAUGUUUUUUAACGGAAAAUGGGCAACUAUCCUAUUUUAGCAUCUUAUCUAACAAUUGUCCCUAUUAACUUCUAAGUAUGAACUUUUUUUACCCCAAUCUGACCUAAUUGUUGUAUUUUAGUCCCUCUCUUAUCUCUAGAACCUUAUCAAACAGUUAUAACCUAAGAUUCUCUCAGAUUUAACUAAAUUGCUCUUUCAGCCUUCUGUAAUUACCCCUCCCUUUUUACUUUCCGACUCAAUUACUAUUAUCUUUUAACCUUUUCUUGUUAUUCAAUUAUUCCCAAUUCUUAAUCAAACAAACUUGAAUUAAUUAUACUAAGACUGAACUGAAUCAGCAAACUAACAAAACCAACGACAAACGAUCCAAGCUAGAGACUAAACAACCACAGAAUUAUGAGCAAAUUAAUAGCUAAGCAAAUAAUUUCCAAAUGGGAUAAACAAUGUGGUAAUUACUUCACAACUAAACGAACUAAACAAAAACAACAAAAAAAGAGGAAAAGCGCGAAAAAGAAAGUAACUGAACCUUACCAAAAGAUCGACGCAUGUUCUACGCUAUUUGAUCACCCCAAAGGUCUUUUCCUCCAAGGAAUCUAGCCCGAAAUGAAAUUUUGGCCGGAUUUUCUUGGAAAAAAAGACUCAUGAGAGUCAAAACCAUCAGUGAAACAAGGUAAUCUUGCACAAACAAACCCCAAAAACUCAGAUGUUGAAGCUAAAAUCUAGGCUUUCUAGUAUUCUAAGAUCUAAAAACUUGAGGAAUCUAGACGUUUUUAGAAGAAAUUAGAUGGUGAUAUGGGACAAAGAUGAGGUGUAGAUUAUGGGGUAAAGAUUUUGGGUUGUUUGGUUAGUGGCCGCCGAUGGAGGAAUCUGGGGUGGCUAGGGUUUUGAGAGUGGUGAGGAAUGAAGGGGUUUGUUUAAGGUUUGGAGGGCUGGGCUAGGAUAGUUAUAUGGGGGAAGGGUAAUU
rnacentral:lncRNA from 1 species